rnacentral:rRNA from 1 species
UGGGGAAUCUUGCGCAAUGGGGGAAACCCUGACGCAGCAACGCCGCGUGGGUGAUGAAGGCCUUCGGGUCGUAAAGCCCUGUCAGGUGGGAAGAAUCAUAUCGAUUCGAAUAGGGUCGAUAUCUGACGGUACCACCGGAGGAAGCACCGGCUAACUCCGUG